CGGUUUACCGUCCCACAUAC
rnacentral:miRNA from 1 species